CCAGCAGCUGCGGUAAUUCCAGCUCCAAUAGCGUAUAUUAAAGUUGUUGCGGUUAAAAAGCUCGUAGUUGAAUUUCUGCCGAGGACAACCUACCCACCUUCGGGUGCGUGUCAGAGUCGACUGAGGCAUCCUCCCAGCAGCUUCGUCCAUUUAAUCGUGGACACUGCUCUGGGACUUUUACUUUGAGGAAAUUAGAGUGUUUCAAGCAGGCUUUCGCCCUGAAUAAUUUAGCAUGGAAUAAUAAUUUAGGACUUCGGUUCUAUUUUGUUGGUUUCUAGAACUGAAGUAAUGAUUAAUAGGGACAGUCGGGGGCAUUCGUACUCAACAGUCAGAGGUGAAAUUCUUGGAUUUGUUGGAGACGAACUACUGCGAAAGCAUUUGCCAAGGAUGUUUUCAUUGAUCAAGAACGAAAGU
rnacentral:rRNA from 1 species